rnacentral:miRNA from 1 species
GUCCAUUGACAACUCUCUCUCUCUCUCUCUCUCUCUCUCUAUAUAUAUAUAUAUAUAUAUAUAUAUAUAUAUAGAGAGAGAGAGAGAGAGAGAGAGAUAGAGAUAGAUCUU